rnacentral:rRNA from 1 species
CCCUUAGAUGUUCUGGGCCGCACGCGUGCUACACUGAACGGUUCAAUGGGUAAGGUAGUGCGAAAGCAUGACCUAAUCUCGAAAUCCGUUCGUGCUGGGGAUAGAAGCUUGCAAUUAUCCUUCUUGAACGAGGAAUACCUUGUAAGCGUGAGUCAUCAUCUCACGCUGAAUACGUCCCUGCCCUUUGUACACACCGCCCGUCGCUCCUACCGAUUGAAUGGUUCGGUGAAGAUCUCGGACUUCGAUAUUUAUUCUUUAUUGAGUUUAUAUUGUGGGAAGUUAUCUAAACCUCAUCAUUUAGAGGAAGGUGAAGUCGUAACA